GAUGAACGCUGGCGGCGUGCCUAAUACAUGCAAGUCGAGCGAACGGACGAGAAGCUUGCUUCUCUGAUGUUAGCGGCGGACGGGUGAGUAACACGUGGAUAACCUACCUAUAAGACUGGGAUAACUUCGGGAAACCGGAGCUAAUACCGGAUAAUAUUUUGAACCGCAUGGUUCAAAAGUGAAAGACGGUCUUGCUGUCACUUAUAGAUGGAUCCGCGCUGCAUUAGCUAGUUGGUAAGGUAACGGCUUACCAAGGCAACGAUGCAUAGCCGACCUGAGAGGGUGAUCGGCCACACUGGAACUGAGACACGGUCCAGAAUCCGACGGGAGGCAGCAGUAGGGAAGCUUCCGCAAUGGGCGAAAGCAUGACGGAGCAACGCCGCGUGAGUGAUGAAGGUCUUCGGAUCGUAAAACGCUGUUAUGAGGGAAGAACAUAUGUGUAAGUAACUGUGCACAUCUUGACGGUACCUAAUCAGAAAGCCACGGCUAACUACGU
rnacentral:rRNA from 1 species